rnacentral:rRNA from 1 species
GACGAACCGUCCGAACGUUAUUCGGAAUUACUGGGCUUAAAGGGUGCGUGGGCGGCGCGGAAAGUCGGGUGUGAAAUCCCUCGGCUCAACCGAGGAAUGGCGCUCGAAACUACCGUGCUCGAGGAAGGCAGAGGUGAGCGGAACUCAGGGUGGAGCGGUGAAAUGCGUUGAUAUCCUGAGGAACACCGGUGGCGAAAGCGGCUCACUGGGCCUUUUCUGACGCUGAUGCACGAAAGCUAGGGGAGCAAACGGG